AGGAGUACCGGGCACUGACCUCCCGAGAAGGGAAUGGGUAGCAUUAAAUAGAUUCCGAACGGGUCAUGGAAAAACAGGACACAUGCUCCAUAAAUGGGGACUCAGGCCUACACCAGGAUGUGACUGCGGCUAUGAAAAGCAAACUGCUAUACACAUUACUGAUGACUGUAAUACUCGACGACUACAAGGAGGAAUGAAAGAGCUACACAGAGCCACAAUAGGCGCAGUGCAAUGGUUGAACUCCUUGGACAUACAAAUCUAAUAGAAGACUUACGUAUCUCACACAUCCAUUACUAGUCAACAUAUUACAUAUAUAAUUAGUUAUCAUUUAGCCAACUUUUAUUUAUUUAUUUAUAUU